rnacentral:rRNA from 1 species
AACGAACGCUGGCGGCGCGCCUAAUACAUGCAAGUCGAGCGAGAAGGUGUAGCAAUACACUUGUAAAGCGGCGAACGGGUGAGGAAUACAUGGGUAAUCUACCAUCGAGUGGGGAAUAACCAGCCGAAAGGUUGGCUAAUACCGCGUACGCCUCCGGAUCUUCGGGUUCGGAGGGAAAGCCACACUGUGAGUGCGGCGCUCUUUGAUGAGCUCAUGUCCUAUCAGCUUGUUGGUAGGGUAACGGCCUACCAAGGCUUUGACGGGUAGCUGGUCUGAGAGGACGAUCAGCCACACUGGCACUGCGACACGGGCCAGACUCCUACGGGAGGCAGCAGUAAGGAAUAUUGCGCAAUGGGCGAAAGCCUGACGCAGCGACGCCGCGUGGGGGAUGAAGGUCUUCGGAUUGUAAACCCCUUUUGUUGAGGGAAGAAGUUCUGACGGUACCUCACGAAUAAGACACGGCUAACUAACGUGCCAGCAGCCGCGGUA